UGCGCAGGCGGACUAAUAAGUCAGUGGUGAAAUCUCUCGGCUCAACCGAGAAACUGCCAUUGAAACUGUUAGUCUUGAGUACAGUUGUAGUGGGCGGAAUAUAGCAUGUAGCGGUGAAAUGCUUAGAUAUGCUAUAGAACACCGAUCGCGAAGGCAGCUCACUAAGCUGUAACUGACGCUCAGGCACGAAAGCGUGGGGAGCAAACAGGAUAAGAUACCCUGGUAGUCC
rnacentral:rRNA from 1 species